CAAUAGCGUAUAUUUAAGUUGUUGCAGUUAAAAAGCUCGUAGUUGGAUUUCUGGUGGGAGCGAUCGGUCUGGCGCUUAGCGCGAGUACUUGCAUCGUCUCCGGCCACCCUUGGGGAGAGUCUGUCUGGCAUUAGGUUGUCGGGCAGAGGAUCCUCAUCGUUUACUGUGAAAAAAUUAGAGUGUUCAAAGCAGGCUUAUGCCGUUGAAUAUAUUAGCAUGGAAUAAUAAGAUAGGACUUUGGUACUAUUUUGUUGGUUUGCGCACCAAAGUAAUGAUUAAUAGGGACAGUUGGGGGUAUUCGUAUUCCGUUGUCAGAGGUGAAAUUCUUGGAUUUACGGAAGACGAACUACUGCGAAAGCAUUUACCAAGGAUGUUUUCAUUAA
rnacentral:rRNA from 1 species